UCGCUCCUACCGAUUUCGAGUGAUGAGGUGAACCCCUCGGACCGAUCGCAUUGCGUCGGGAAGUUGAGUAAACCUUAUCACUUAGAGGAAGGAG
rnacentral:rRNA from 1 species